AACCAGCUGUUUUCCUCUAAUUAUCUCGAAUAUUAACGAGAAUUUCGAAAAAAUGACCUUUUUAAAGUAUCACCCAGAGGACAUUUCCUUUCAGAAAACGUUCUAUACUUGAUAAUCGGUGUAAGCUUCCUCGUAGAAAAAGUGUUCGCUUAACAAAAGUGCACGAAGCAUUUAACAAUACACUUAAUACGAUUUGACGUUUUUCGUAUACAUAGCUAGGUAUCUCAAUUGAGUCGGAAAAUAUUAUUUCAUUUUAUUUUUUUUA